rnacentral:rRNA from 1 species
ACGGAGGGUCCAAGCGUUAUCCGGAUUUAUUGGGUUUAAAGGGUCCGUAGGCGGGAAUUCAAGUCAGUGGUGAAAUCCUGCAGCUUAACUGCAGAACUGCCAUUGAAACUGUUUUUCUUGAGUAUAGAUGAAGUGGGCGGAAUGUAUCAUGUAGCGGUGAAAUGCAUAGAUAUGAUACAGAACACCGAUUGCGAAGGCAGCUCACUAAACUAUUACUGACGCUGAGGGACGAAAGCGUGGGGAGCGAACAGG